AGACCCGAAACCCGGUGAUCUAGCCAUGGGCAGGUUGAAGGUUGGGUAACACUAACUGGAGGACCGAACCGACUAAUGUUGAAAAAUUAGCGGAUGACCUGUGGCUGGGGGUGAAAGGCCAAUCAAACCGGGAGAUAGCUGGUUCUCCCCGAAAGCUAUUUAGGUAGCGCCUCGUGAAUUCAUCUCCGGGGGUAGAGCACUGUUUCGGCUAGGGGGCCAUCCCGGCUUACCAACCCGAUGCAAACUGCGAAUACCGGAGAAUGUUAUCACGGGAGACACACGGCGGGUGCUAACGUCCGUCGUGAAGAGGGAAACAACCCAGACCGCCAGCUAAGGUCCCAAAGUCAUGGUUAAGUGGGAAACGAUGUGGGAAGGCCCAGACAGCCAGGAUGUUGGCUUAGAAGCAGCCAUCAUUUAAAGAAAGCGUAAUAGCUCACUGGUCGAGUCGGCCUGCGCGGAAGAUGUAACGGGGCUAAACCAUGCACCGAAGCUGCGGCAGCGACACUGUGUGUUGUUGGGUAGGGGAGCGUUCUGUAAGCCUGUGAAGGUGUGUCGUGAGGCAUGCUGGAGGUAUCAGAAGUGCGAAUGCUGACAUAAGUAACGAUAAAGCGGGUGAAAAGCCCGCUCGCCGGAAGACCAAGGGUUCCUGUCCAACGUUAAUCGGGGCAGGGUGAGUCGACCCCUAAGGCGAGGCCGAAAGGCGUAGUCGAUGGGAAACGGGUUAAUAUUCCCGUACUUGGUGUUACUGCGAAGGGGGGACGGAGAAGGCUAUGUUGGCCGGGCGACGGUUGUCCCGGUUUAAGCGUGUAGGUGUGUGUUCCAGGUAAAUCCGGUUCACUUUAACACUGAGGCGUGAUGA
rnacentral:rRNA from 1 species